UUGUCUCUCUGUCUCUCUGACUCUGUCUCUGUCUCUGUCUGUCUGUCUCUCUCUCUCUCUCAUCACUGUUCUUUUUGCUUUAGACAUGAGAAAAUGUAAUACUUUAGAUGGCUGGUGUAAGCACUCAACAGUUUACUAUUCAUGGACUACUAAUUAAGAUAAUAUUUGGGACCAAAAGCACUUCAAUUUUUUAACUAUUUUAAUGUGAGAUUUAUUUUAAAGGUUAUAUAAAUAUCCCAAAGAUGGAAAGUCAAAUAGAAGUUUCCAUAAAUCUUCGGCAACAGAUGGGCUACUGUAGUCUUAAGGCUUGGCAGCCAUGAGUGUUAGCGGGAUGUUGAAUGGAAAUGCUCUGCUUGAGACUCUGAUGUGAACGAUAAGGACAAAGAGAGUGACACCCUAACAUUCUUAGUUCUGGUAUUUAAAUUCUCUAUGAGAGCUCCCGCCAUGACCAGUAAGCAGUGUCUAAGCCACUGACACCACAACGACACACUAAUGUUUUAUUUCCAAGUGUCCCAGUGUUUGUCAUUAACACUGGUGUAGGUUACAGAAAAAGACAUCUAUUAGCAUUCUUCUUAUGAUUAAGGUUGACAACCUACAUGUGGGUUAAAAAUCCCAUCUCUUGCUUACAAGGGGUGGUAUUAACUAUCUAGGAAGUUGCAAUUCUGCAAACGUUUCUAAAUUUUUAAUAAUUCUUUGCUGUUCUACCUCAAGAACACAUUUCCAUAAAAACAGAUGACUUCCAACUAUAUGGUUCUAAAUUAUUAAUCUUUUAUUUUGCUCUAAAGGAUAACAUUAACCAGGCAUAUGUUUACUCCAAAUUGUAUUGUUUGAAAAAUUCCCAGCUGCCAUGAAUAAAUUAUGGUCAGACAAAGGAACAUUAGUGUGAGAAAGCUUUUCUUUUAUUAGAGAAAUGGAUUUUUUUGAAUUAACAUAUUUCUCACUUGGUAAGAGGGAUUAAAUGGCAUCAUUGAGGAAUUAAACAUUGUCUCUUCGGGAAGCUGGGGUCAUAGCUCAGUGGUAGAGGCACAGCAUGGCCAAGGCCCCAGGUAAUCUCUGAGCACUACAGACAUAAAAGAAAAAUAUCAGUCAGUAACAUAAUGAAGGGUGAGCCAACCAGUGUGAUUCACCGCCUGCCUAUGUAGCCUUAUUUGGUAAAGUUCAUAUGUUCAUCACUACCAAGUAUGAAAAAUGUUACUAAGGAUGCUCUUAAGAAUGAAUCUUUUUUUCCUGUUAUUUUCCAUUUUCUUAAGUUUGUGGUCCAUGUAGAAAAUUACCAUUGAUGGCCAUUUUUGAAAUGAUUUCUUUGACUGUCUUUAAGUGGCUUCAAGAAAGUCUGGAGGAUGAUAUAUAUAUAUAUAAAAUGGGGUUAGCCAGUAUUCUUGUGACUAAAUAAGCAGCCUUAUUCUGCUUAUGCACCGGAUAUGGGCAAGAUAUGGGGAGGUCAUGCGUGUAAUCAUGUUCUUUUUCACAGAUCUGGGUUAGGAGCUGUUUAUUAGCUCAUAACACUCAGCUCCUCUCUGAGUGCUCUUCAUGCGCCUCUUCAGUGUGUUGCUCUAUCCUACCUCACCAUUAAGAGUGAAGCUUCUUUAAGAUUGCAUCUGGGCCAGUAACUCAAGGAUAAAGAACACUGCAGCCCACUGCUCACACCUCAGAUCUUCAAGGAUGGACAUCCUAGCCCAGUGACCACCCUAGAUUACCAAGUGUUUUCACUUGGUAUUCAACUGCCCAUGCUAUAAAGUCAUUGACUUACUUUUAGAGAGGCAUUUGCAUUGGUAUAUUUAGCAUAGAUGCAUCCAUACAAGGUUUGAAAUAUGUCGUACAUGUAGAAAGUAUGCUAUUAUCUUUGAUUCCCCCCCAAAGUUAUAUAAUCUUUACUUCCUUCAUUUUCAAGAUGAAAAUAGUUUAUUUUUUGAGGAUCGUUGAAACAAUGUAACUGAAAUGUCUCCCAAUCUGGAAUCACAGUAUUUGGAAUGGUCUACUAUAUCAUAACAUUAUAGCACGAGCACAUCAAGACCCAAGCAUAUUUAGGGGGCCCAGUAGCUCGGGAUUUUAUAUUUAUUCCUAUUUAUAUUUAUUCUUAUUGUCACUACAUCAGAACUGUCUUUUCUUAUUAAUGGAACACAACAAAUUCCUUAUUAAGUGCUGAGUUCUAGAACCAGUGGGUUACCAAGGGAACUAAAGAGUUUCUAGUGGCCUUGUUUUAUCGAUCUUAUUUAGAGUUGACAAUUCAAUGAAUGAAGUAGGGGUUUUGUGUCAGAAAUACUGCAUUUUAGAUGCUGAUUUUUAUUCUUUGCACGUGUGUGACUCUAGGGGUCCUGUGGAAAUUUUCACACACAGAGAUUUGUUUUUAAAACCGGAUGUUACAAACAUCUCAUCUGCAUAACCACUAGGAGUGAGAAUGAAAAAAAAAUAUGAGACAGGAAUUUAGUACAGCAAAAGAGCUCAAUACAUGAUAGCCAAGAAGAAGAAGAAGAAGCAAAAGUCCAGGGAAGGCACUGAAGCUCCAUUUGCAAUAAAAAAGGGGGCAGAACUAGCAAGAGUGUUACAAAUCUGGGAGAUAGAUGAACUGCUCUGCAAGCAUAGUACCCACAAUUUCAUCCAAGACAAAGGCAUAAUUUACAAACAUAAAGCUAGCAGAGGGUUGAAUCACGUAUGAACCCAGUUGUGAAGGUAAGUGCCAAUGUGUUGUUGUUUCUCGUUUUGUUUCAGAGCACUGCAGCUCUAGGUUAUACUUCAAGCCCAUCAUAGGCCUUUUCAAGCUUGUCAGAAUAAGGAGUCAAAAAAAUAUUGCCAUGGUGAUGGGGAAUAACAUAUGAUUAAUUUGAUGUAGAAGGAAGAGGCUUUAUAACUGAGUCUCAUAUGCCUGGAGGCCUACCAAGAACAUCCUGCCACAUGUGAAUCUGUCAGCCUGGGUUUGCUGUACACAGUGUGCCCAGCCUUGGGAGAAAACUCACUGGUCACUGAGAGCUUGUUAGGCAAGCAGAUGAAGACACAUUGCACCAAUGCUAUUUGACAACCCUAGUGGUAUAUUUUCCCCUUUAGGGGCUAAAAUGUGCUAAGUCAGGGUGGGCCAACACAACUUCUUCCUAAAGAACAAGGUUCUCGAGACCUUCUCUAUAAGACAGAGACGACAUCUUGCUUAGUGACCAUUUCACAAAUCUGUGCUCCCAGGAAAGAUGUAAUCAGUACAAUAUUCAGAAAGUCAGACAAGAAACGGCUGUGCAUGAGGAAGUGCUCUAUGCAAAUACCAUUUGUUCAAUAUUCAUGCUUAUCUGAUGAAAACAGCUAGUUCUCAUCACGGCAUUCUGAAAUCUGCUAACUCAUUACUCAUUACCCUCUAUUCUAGGCUGUAUUUUAUUUCCAGUACUUGAUAUGGAAUAGCUCAGUAAGAGAGCAAAACUGAAAUAGAUUAAAAAUGACCGCACACACAUGGUAUCCAGCAACUGGAUGAUGAUGAUGAUGAUGAUGAUGAUGAUGGUGGUGGUGGUGGUGAUGGUGAUGAUGAUGAUGGUGGUGGUGGUGGUGUUGAUGAUGAUGAAGACGAUGAAGACGAUUACAGACUUGGCUAGUUUAUCAGUGGUGGAUGAUGGUGCAUGAAAAUGGGGACAAGACUAUUCCUAGGUGUGGAUGAGAGAAAGUUUUUAUUGCAGUUAUGAGGGAGAACAUAGCCAUAGACAUCUGGAAGAGUCAAGACUGACCAUACCAGCAGACUCAACAGAGUCAGGAGAGGAAAGCGGGUGGGAGUGGGAGGGAGAACGAGGAAGGAAGAGAAGAGGAGAGGAAACAAAGGUGCCAAGAGAACCAAAAGAGUGUAUGGGAAUCAAGAGAGCCCAUAGCUCAAUACAUGAGUAACAUAGGAAUCCGGAGCAGGAAGCGAAGGCCCUGGGCUAGAGAGGUGUGAGUAGGGGAAAGGUGAGAAGUUCUGGGAGGAGCCACAGGUACUGAAUGAGACUCACCCUGGAUUUCUUUGGGAUCUAAAAGAAAAUGAGUGAGUUGCAUAGCACUUUGAUUUAGUUUUUUAAUGUUAGUCACAUGGGAAAGUAUUUUAUGCGCUAUUUUAUUUACUACUCACCAUCACGCAAGACAAUCUACCUGGUUUUAACGUCACGUUGUUCAUGUGGCGGAGUCUUCAACCCUAGCGAGCAUAUUUUAUAGCCUACAAUUUUCUUCUUAAUUAACCUUAGAGUUUAUCUUGUCGAUAAUUCCCCCCAAGACUUUCUUUGAGUUGUUCCAUUGAUCUCCCUAAGAUGUCUCUAGGAUAUGGAGAAAGUUCUCAAUUAUUUCCGUCUUAGGUACAAAUGUGCAUAUUUGACUUUUGGUCAUGGGAGUAAAACAGAUGUGAGGAAGAUGACUGUGGUGCUGUCCCAUGCUUCCAUGUAUGGGACAGCCUGGAGAAAUGGCCUUAUUCUCACACAUGAGGCCUGCAUUUCCAGUUCCUGGCAGUUCUGUAAUUAGGACUAGAUGCCUCAAUCCAAGUUAUUCUAACACCAUGAGACAUAACUGGGAGAAAUACCACUUGAGCAGGCUCUAUGGUGAAUAGCGAAGAAAGAUUUGGCCAUGGGACAUCAACAACUGAAUUUUCUACUAACUAUAUAACACCUUUUUUGGGCAAUUUAAAAUUUAGAAGAGAACAGUGUAGGAUUUUUGAGCAUGAUACAUUUUUGGGUUAUUAAUUACACUAAUCAUAUUAACUCCAAGGCAACACUCAGUUAUUUUUACUAAGUUCUGUAAAGUGCAUGGGAAAAGAGCUUAAAAUCAUACAUUCUAAGUUAAACUAUUGUGUUAUUUAAGACAGUAUUUGAAUUUUAAUUUAUAAAUAAGAUAUGCUAUCUCAGUGUGAACACAUACACACAUACACACAUACACACAAUGUGUAAAUGCUGUCCCUUGAACACAGAUGUCUACUAGUCUUCUAUAGACAAUGUUUAAAGCUAUGAUUCUCAUUUCUUAGCUGCUCCAGUUUGUGUAAACCCAGAGUGAAUACAAGUGAAAGGUUUGGUGGUCGGAGGCUGUGUUUAAUCUGGACCUCAGAACCUCCAUUAGUUUGUCAAUUUCAGCAUAGCAACACAGUUGUAGAUCCCAGGUCUGCUUACACAGCAUGCUAGAGGUGCAUAUAUGGCUAUUGAGAGGUUGGUAAGGAUCUCACAGGAAGUACCUGAAGCUCACUAUUAGGUUACAGCAUUCCAUUUUACCUUCUCAAUAUCUUUAUGAUAACUAUGUUGCAGCUUGGAAACUACAACAUCUGGAAAAGAGAAUGGCAUGUAUCCUCUUCUACACUGAUUUCAGGUACAGUCCAAACUUUUAUUUCUCUGCUAUCUUAAUGUGCCUGUAGCAAUGCAUUCUACCUUUGCUCUACCAUUUAGCAUAUUAAAUUGUGCCCUCCCCUAUUAAGCUGAAAAAAAA
rnacentral:sRNA from 1 species